rnacentral:rRNA from 1 species
CAUUUAGAGGAAGUAAAAGUUGUAACAAGGUUUCCGUAGGUGAACCUGCGGAAGGAUCAUUACUGAGUGCGGGCUGCCUUCGGGCGCCCAACCUCCCACCCGUGACUACCUAACACUGUUGCUUCGGCGGGGAGCCCUCUCGGGGGCGAGCCGCCGGGGACUACUGAACUUCAUGCCUGAGAGUGAUGCAGUCUGAGUCUGAAUAUAAAAUCAGUCAAAACUUUCAACAAUGGAUCUCUUGGUUCCGGCAUCGAUGAAGAGCGCAGCGAACUGCGAUAAAUAAUGUGAAUUGCAGAAUUCAGUGAAUCAUCGAGUCUUUGAACGCACAUUGCGCCCCCUGGCAUUCCGGGGGGCAUGCCUGUCCGAGCGUCAUUGCUGCCCAUCAAGCCCGGCUUGUGUGUUGGGUCGUCGUCCCCCCCGGGGGACGGGCCCGAAAGGCAGCGGCGGCACCGUGUCCGGUCCUCGAGCGUAUGGGGCUUUGUCACCCGCUCGAUUUAGGGCCGGCCGGGCGCCAGCCGACGUCCAACCAUUUUUCUUCAGGUUGACCUCGGAUCAGGUAGGGAUACCCGCUGAACUUAAGCAUAUCAAUAAGCGGAGGAAAUCACUAGU